UUAGAAGUAGAGUGGAUGAAGACAAAUGAAGAAAUCCAGGUGCUGCUGUUUAUGGGGGGGCAGUACAGACCGGAGUCACAGCCUGAGAGAUUCAGAGGGCGUGCUGAGUUCUUCAGUGAGGAGAUUCCCAAAGGCAACUUCUCAAUGAAACUGAGGGAUGUGAAAACUGAAGACAGAGGGGAAUUCAUGUGCAAAGUCCGUACAGACAGAGAAUCAGUCAAUGCAACGGCUUGGCUACAAAAACAGGGUUUUUCCACGUUACAUUGGUGUGUCCUGGGUUUAACCAUGGCUGCUGCAGUUUUUGCAGUUUUAAGUUGUAUUCCUGCUAUUUGCUGCAUAAAAACAGCACAAAAAGAAAAACAAGAAAAAAAGAAAAAAAAGAAAGGGUUAACGACAGAGGAGGAGGAAGAUGAGGAAGAUGAGGAAGAUGAGGAAGAUGAGGAAGAAGAGGAAGAUGAGGAAGAA